rnacentral:rRNA from 1 species
UACGUAGGGUGCAAGCGUUGUCCGGAAUUAUUGGGCGUAAAGAGCUUGUAGGCGGUUUGUCGCGUCUGCUGUGAAAUUUCGGGGCUCAACCCCGAACUUGCAGUGGGUACGGGCAGACUAGAGUGUGGUAGGGGAGACUGGAAUUCCUGGUGUAGCGGUGAAAUGCGCAGAUAUUAGGAGGAACACCGGUGGCGAAGGCGGGUCUCUGGGCCGAUACUGACACUGAGGAGCGAAAGCGUGGGGAGCGAACAGG